AUCAGAUUCUGUCUUCAGAUGUGGUAAAAGCAGCAGAAGUCAAUGGAUGUCCAACAACUAAUCCCAUUUUUAUAUAAAUAGCUGGGAAAGAGGAAAGAAGAAUCAGAAUAUAUUUAAGAAGGUUAGGUCCGCAAGAUGCCAGAUGAAGGAGGUCCAACCUUUACUGACACCUGCUAGAGCUCUAUGUUGAAUUAUUCUGCUGCUAGAAGUGAAGGAGUGCUAAUGGCCAGACUUGAUGGGGAAAUCUACACAGAGGACCUUGGAAUCCCACAGAUUCCCUAAGGCCUUUAAGGCACAUGAACUUUUAGGCCUCUCUGUUCAACCUAGGAUUAGAACUGAUGACACUAUUGAACAACAUUUCCAAAUGGGAUUAAUGACUGUGAAGAAACCAAA